rnacentral:misc_RNA from 1 species
CGGUGAGCCUUGGCGGGUGUGACUGUAAGUGUGUUCGCAUGAAGGUGUGCACAAACGCCUUCUUCAUGAACCCUUCUCGUCACCUCUGCCGCUGGACUGCUUUGGUGCAACCCCGCACUUCAAAUCCUUCACUUCAGCCGUGAAGCACGAAACGGCGUCGCUGGAGUACGAUAUCCGAGCUGUUUACUCAUACACGCACAUACAUGCACACGCACAUACACACUUGCGCAAACUCGCACAGAGGCAGAUUCACGCCGGUGCACGAGGCACACCUUGGGCGAAGGGACAAGGGCUGCGCGGGAGAAAGGGAGGUGGCGGGGAGGGGGUCGAGCAGAUAACUCAAACACAGAAAGACAAGGCAGGGCGAGCAUAUGCGUGUGUGUCGACCUCGUCCACUCGUGAUCUCCUUCGACGAAAAGACAUUACCGCAAUGGAAAUGAAAACUGCCCCGGCGUCUCACCUCCCUUCAUUUUUCUUUUUUUUUUUGUUUAUGCGUGGUCCUCAUGCAACGCCUCGUGUGCGUGCCAUCGUACUACGGCCUGACUGCUUCAGGGAGAGCGCUCAUGCGUCCCUCUCAUUCCCUGCUUGCAUACGCUGACAGUGGAGCCUGUCGCACACGGCGGGCAGUACGGCAUCACGACAGCGCAUGCGACUCGAGCACCGCAAACAAGGACCACGAGGCAGUUCAUCUCUCGCAUACCAGGUGCCAACAGCGCAUCGGCAGCUUCGACAGACGACCGCUUCUGCCGCCUCCACUGACGCCGUGCAGCAUUGGCGGGACGCCUUUCGCGUAUCUCCUCCAGCGUAUUAUCGUAGGCAAGGCGGAGGAGUUGUCUCACAUGAGGAGGGAGGCGCUCGAGUUCCUCUGCAAUGUCGCCGUUGGCGACUCAACAACUCGCCGCCAUGGCAACGCCACCGAGGAGGCGAAGACUCGCGAACGGCGGAUGCGAGAAGCCUUACUGAAGGUCGAACAACCUGCAUUGUGCUCCUCUCUGCAGCAGAAAGAAAACCCACGACUCACGGUCUGCCUGCAGCGUCCAGAAGGUCAUGUGUGCGUCCCCGCCGUGGUGGGUGAGACAUACUUGUUUCUCCGCUCUCAAGGUGUGGACGUGACAGCUUGGUGGGAACGCUAUUACACCGCCUUUAUUCGACCAAGCACCGUAGAACAUCCUAGCAGCGAGGGUAUGAUCGUCACGGCCGCGGCCGAUGCUAGAGGCGUGAAAAGAGUGGCAGCAUCCCCGGUGACCGCCGAUUGCAGUCCCGACGCCGAAUGGAAUGGUGCAACUCCGCCGCCUCCACUUUACUGGAAGCUUGAUCGGGGCUUAAGGCACACUUUCUCUACUUACGCGACCGCUUCGCACAGGGGGGACGUCUUCGCGGUGCCGCUGCCGUCGUUUGAAGAGCCUGCGCCUUGUUGGGUAGCUCCUGCGAAGACGCAAACCGAUGCAUCGGAGCGAGGCAGCGACGGCGUACCGGCCUCAACGAGUGCGACAGCUGCUGCCCUCGCGAGCCCGCCAACCCGACAGUCGGUCUGGAUUCCUGUGUGGCUCAUUCGCCAUCUUCCCUUCUUCCCCAUUCCGUUUCCGUCGGCCAACGCGGAAGGCGAGCCGCGACGAGGACGAAGUGCUGAGAUGCGGUACAAUGACGCGGCAUUCGCCUCCGCAGACUCGCCGCUGACGUCGCACGACCCGGACUCUUGCAUGGCAGAGGAGAAUGAACGAGUGCUCCUGCAGCGCGAUGGCGAGCCGGAGACGACGGAAGCGGACUGUCUGCUGUCCAGGCAGGACGCCGUCUCGCGCACCAACGCUUCCGACGAUGCCCCCCUUGAGGUAAAUGGGGCUGAUAUGAGAGCUUGCACUAGUUGGCACACGGCACAGACUUUCACAUCGACACCGCGGCUGCCCACACACGCGCAACAGGAUCAGCUCGAUAAGGAGUGGGGGCAUCCGUUCUUUGACGGUCUACACAGUGUUAGCGACAUUGGCAAUUGGAGCCCGCGACAUGCCACGCUGACAACGUCGAGCGGUAAUCAUGGUACCGUUGCGCAUGACAUAAUCUCUGUACAAGCGUUGUGGCACCAGCGGGUGCGAGAAUCCUCGACCUUUGCGCUCGACCUCGAGUUUUCGACCGGUUGCCCGCCAACCAACGCCACCACCACCACCGGCGCGCUUUCCGGAGCAGCAACAGCGGAGUGGCCGUCACCGUUAUUUUCGUGGAAGCUGCGCAGUACACAUUGGAGGACUCUCAGCAGUUUCUGGGCAACGAAGGCCGACCCUGCGAGCUCCCUCGCCGCGGACUACUCGUUUCCUCUUGACGCGUAUCCACUGCUUCGGUACCGCUCAUUUCUUCGAGCGCGUGCGGGACAUACCGCGAUAUCGACCUGCAAGCCGCAUCUGCACCCCUUCUCGGAAGGGAGCAUCCUUAAUCGUCUGGAAAAAGACACCACCUCGCAGAAGUGGAUACGAUACCCUUUUAGGCCCUGCGGCGCAGCGCAACAGCGCACCCACUGGAACGCGCAGCCGCCUGCGCACAGCUGGAUCGGUGAGGAGGGCCCCCUGGAUCGCAUGCCGCCCACGGCUGCAGCGGGUGAUGCACCCUACACCAGCAAAGUUUCUGUCGCAGCGCAGCGCGCCUCCGUCUUUCACGUUCUACAACGCAAAUCUUGCGUCGAGCGGGUAGCGUUUUUUGGUGUGCAUUAUGUCAGCGUGGAUGCUACGGCGUUGUCGUGCCUCUUCGACUCGACCGUGUGUGUGCGGCACGCGGUGCCACUGGGGGUCACUGGAGCCGUCUUCAAGGCUGGAUUGCGGUCUACUCGCUACCGACAACAGCAUUCGUGCCUACCUGAUGGGCAACAGCGCAUGCUCACGGUGGAAGACGAUCAAAGCGGUGCCUAUGCGGUGACGCACAGGUUCUCCAAUCGAAGGACAGAACCGCGACUGCCGUUAUUCGCGGCCGCCAUGAAGAAGCUCGAGGCAGCUGAGGCGGCAGCCGCGGCGCCGGUGAACCCACAAGACAAAGCCGCUGCGACCCCUGGUGGAGGAGGUGAGCUUGGAUCCACCGCAGGUGCUGCCCCAUGGCUGGCGCGGCUGCGUGCGAUUCGGAAUGAGCGUGAGAGAGGUAAGUGCGAGCCACAGGCGUCGCAGAUGGAGCGCGUCGUGAAAAUGCGCACAUCGCAUCGUUCUGUCUUCUUCCUCUUUCAGUCCCCGUAUUGGGUCGAGGUGGCGGAACUGUACGAGCGAUGGGGCGUCCGUGUUGCACCUGGGACGGUGCCGCUCCUCAUCUGUGGGAAGCCGUAUGUGAACGCAGAACAGACAACAGAUGCGUCACGCUUUUCGCCAAACACAUGCGUGCCUCAUCUCAUGCAGGAGGUGCUGUUCAGCAAGGGACUGGAGGCCUGCACGUGGGCCGGAUCACAGUGCCUCCUGAGCCUGAUCGCACCCGGUGCUGCUCCUCGCCCUCGCCCUGGAGGUGCGUGUGCGUGGACGUACCGCACCCUCUGCGAGCGCGCGGCAGCUGUGCAGCGAGUGUCGAACCUAUGGAUUGCCGAAUCGGUCAUCGAAAGAUUCAAGUGGACACUUCGAACUGCCCCCGCACCACCACGGCCUGACAUGAGUGACAGCAGUGGCUUGGGUGGCCCUGAGGGCGGCCGCGAUGAGGUUCUCCGCGCUGUCCUGCCUCUGCACGACAUUGAAUCGUCGAAAUUCCAAGAAACUCUGCGUGAUGAACUUCACAGCGAAGUCUUGCAUCGACAUUUUCAUGAGCGCAUCGACUCGCCUCAGCACGCGGACAGCUGUAAAAACACCGCUACGUCAUCAACACCGCGCAGCACUUCACAGAACACUCCAACUCGGGUGGCCUUUUUCACACCUUCACGGCCACCACCACCGCCCUGCGAGCCGCCGGUCGUCGAAGGCGUGCCCUUCCCGAGCUUGUCCCGACGCACAGCGCAGCCGCACGUCUGUGUCGUACACUCGAGCUGUGUGGCGGAACAAGCGGAACUGACAUUUGUGGCGGCAUUUUCCCCAGUCGUGCUUCUCCUGCGAGUGCCUGAUUUGACAAGUCGGGACUGGGGCUUUGACACGUGGGAGGCGGCCAAACGGAGGGCCGCCACGGCCUCGCGAACCGUAGAGACACGAGUGACGGGCUCGGUAAACGACGGAGAUGGGGUGGGGAGCCGUGCAGGCGCGCGCGCCGAAAGGCCGCUUUCCUCGUACAAAGAUUUGGACGUGGAGGUCGGUGAUGAGGACGACCAGGCUUUUGAUGCCAGUUUGGCUGAUGAUGGCGCAUCAGCAGCAGGGAGCGAGGCGCUGCUCGAAAAGAGAGCCCGGCUCAUGUACAUGAAGGCAAUGCGUCGGAAGCGGUUGUUGUACGCGGCUCCCUGGAGGAGUACCCGGCUCAGCUUUGAGUCGCGACUGGACCUCUCGCACCUCGCGCUUCGCAAGGGGUACAGCGCUGAAAACGCUAAUCGGUGGGUGUCUCUUGACUUCCUGAGAGACGAACCUCGCGUGCGGGCCGCGCGCACUGACAUGGUGGCGCCGAAGGUGGAUACCCAAGGUGUUGGCGAGCCCCAGAUCCCCCGCCCAAAUUUUGCUUCUGAUCCCGCCGUCGCGGCGUCAUCAGCAGAGCGGCAAGCAAAAACAUCAUCAAGGUCGCGCUCUAUCACGGGGAUCAGGGUCGACGUGCUCUUCUAUUCCCAAGAUGAGCCGGGUGGGAGCAGCGGCCUCAGUGCUAACGGCGGGUACAUCGAAUAUGACCACGGAAUGUGUAGCCACGACAACUGCGCCACAGAUGAUUGCAGUGGUGUAACACGGGUGAUGAAGAUUGCGCUUGUAAACUAUGAGGAGCUCGAGUGGCCCGAGUCGGUGGUCUCGUCUUCCAAACAGCAGUGGGUGUGGAAGAACUUGUGAUGCGGCUGGUGAUCUGGCGAUGACGUUGCGGAGGAGAGGCAGCUGGGAGGCGGAGGGACGCGAAGCUCUUGGCCGCUUACGUAUCACUGCGCACGCCCACACAGGAUGACCAGUAGGGUGGCAAACGCCACGGAGGCACACAGAAGAAAAAAGGAAAACGAAAGGCGGCCACACCACCGCCUCCUCUCCGCCUCUGUGUGUGUGUGUGUGUGUGCAGCGCGGAGGAGACCGCGAGAUUGCUGGCGCGUGACGUGCUUUCGUGUUCUUCUCCCCUCUCUUGUUUACCAGAAUUUGUGCGGACCUGGAAUCAGACCAAGGGCAAGUGCAAUCGCACAUGUGUAUGCAUGUGUCUUAACGAGGCUGGCUAGUGCCUCUGCUGCCUCGUGUGGAACCCCUUGUGUACGACAACACCCAUCCACGUGCUCCACGUUUUGCUUCUCUGGGCUUUGGCGUGACACCUGUGUGUUCCCUCACGUAACCUUCUUUUUUCUUUUACCGCCUCGUCUCCCCACUCUUAUUCGGCACCGUUUCCUUUGUUUUCCUGCUACACGUCUGCUUCUUUUCAG